AAAACAUUUAACAUUCUUCAGAAUUUGUUCUGUCCGAACUUGAUACAUAUUAAAUAUAGAUAUCAAUUAUCGUACCAGAUAAUGCAAUGGCCUCUCUAAAUGUAUGUAACUCGGGAUCUGGGUCGCUGCCUGAUGUUGGUGUUGAAGCGACAACCAUACUCGGUGUUGGGCUCUGUGAUGGAGGAGAGCCACACACCAUCAUACGCGGCUUAGGUGAACUUCUGUAGUAGCACCCGCAAAUUACAUCAGAUGAAUUGCAAUCAAGACAAACCUGUGCGAAUGUGGUCGGGGUGGCGGUGGUCUGCCAGCCAAGUAUGCAA